UCUAGCGAGACUGCCGGUAAUAAACCGGGAGGAAGGUGGGGAUGACGUCAAAUCAUCCAUGCCCCUUAUGACCUGGGCUACACACGUGCUACAAGUGGUUGGUACAACGAGUUGCGAGUCGGUGACGGCGAGCUAAUCUCUUAAAGCCAAUCUCAGUUCGGAUUGUAGGCUGCAACUCGCCUACAUGAAGUCGGAAUCGCUAGUAAUCGCGGAUCAGCACGCCGCGGUGAAUACGUUCCCGGGCCUU
rnacentral:rRNA from 1 species